GUAUGGUGCAAGCGUUAUCCGGAUUACUGGGUGUAAAGGGAGCGUAGACGGAGUGGCAAGUCUGAUGUGAAAACCCGGGGCUCAACCCCGGGACUGCAUUGGAAACUGUCAAUCUAGAGUACCGGAGAGGUAAGCGGAAUUCCUAGUGUAGCGGUGAAAUGCGUAGAUAUACGGAGGAACACCAGUGGCGAAGGCGGCCUGCUGGACAUUAACUGACGCUGAGGCGCGAAAGCGUGGGGAGCAAACAGGAUUAGAUACCCUGGUAGUCCACGCCGUAAACGAUGGAUACUAGGUGUGGGAGGUAUUGACCCCUUCCGUGCCGCAGUUAACACAAUAAGUAUCCCACCUGGGGAGU
rnacentral:rRNA from 1 species